GACGUAGGGCGCAAGCGUUGUCCGGAUUUAUUGGGCGUAAAGAGCUCGUAGGCGGCUUGUUGCGUCGACCGUGAAAACCCGUGGCUCAACUGCGGGCUUGCGGUCGAUACGGGCGGGCUAGAGUUCGGUAGGGGAGACUGGAAUUCCUGGUGUAGCGGUGAAAUGCGCAGAUAUCAGGAGGAACACCGGUGGCGAAAGCGGCUCUCUGGUCCAAAACUGACGCUGAGGGGCGAAAGCGUGGGGAGCGAACGGG
rnacentral:rRNA from 1 species